rnacentral:pre_miRNA from 1 species
GCGGGUAUUCCAGAGUCAAUAACAUGACAUGCAAACUGUUAUUGCUUGCGAAUACACGAGA